GUAGGAAGGCUCCUACUGCAAAACUUCUAAAGAUUUGUAUUCUCCUUAUUUUCAUUUGGAGUUUAAGCUGUUUGCACUAUGAAAGAAAAAUUUGUAUGUUGAAACAGUAAAAAUAAAAAUACUGCAGGACUGAGUCAUUGCAGCUGAGAUGAAUGCCCAUAAAAAAGUACAAAUCACAAAAAAAACUCAGAAACAGGGUCAUUGUGUGUAUCAUCAGCAAUGCUUACAGAUUCAUCAUGGCUCACAACAAAGAUUUUACCAUUUUAUGAAGGUGCAGCACCUUGUACAACUUUUAACAGUUAAAGAAAACAUACGUAAGAUGUUGAUGAGAGAAGGUGAAUAUGUUAAAGCUUUAUUCAAUUGUUAGUAUCUAACUGUACUAUUGAUAAUGUAGGCAGUAAUCACAUGUAGUCCAGCCAAAUUGAAAUAUACUAUUUAAUAUCAUUUUUUGCAGAUAUUCAUAGCACUGAAGUGCUGCAAAAAGAGUAUCUUCUUCUUUUCACGUGCUUUUCCACAAUUUUCUAUUCAUAAAAAUUCCAAAGACACUCUAUUCAAAAUUGAGUAUUAUGUACAGCAAUAAAUGUCUGCAAAACAUUUUGGUGUCUGUGCUCCCAUUUCUACAACAACAAACAUUAUUGUUAAUCAUGGUAAUCUGAAACGUCACUGUUCUUUAAAUGCUUGUUCCUUGAGCAGAUUUCUUAGAUGAAAAUAACUUUGCCAACAUGUGAAAAAUAUUGAUACCUCCAGCUUUUGUGUAUGUCAAGUCUGACUGAAAAUAUUGUGUUAAUUAUCUUUUGGACUGCAUGGGUAAAUUAUUCAUUAUUAUAUUGUUAUACUGUGGAGUAUAUGGGUUGCAUUAUCUCCAAAGAUUAUGCAUUACUUAAAAAUGUUUGAAAGCCAUUACAAUCGUCACAUUAAUGAAAGAAAACAGUCAGCUUUCCAAGAACAUUUUAUUUAUUUAGAGCCUCUAAGAUUUCCCAAGAGAAUAUGUCAUAUAAUCAAACAAAAAUGCUUGGCAUAAUAGAUUCUGCAGCACUGCAUUACAUUCUGUGGAAAGUCAUUUAUGAAAAAAUGAACUAAGCCCAUGUUAUUCAAUGUUAUCUAGAUAUCUUAAUAAAACAUACGGCGACAGCAGACA